GCCCCUAUAGUAUAGUAGUUACACACCUAGGAAGGCCGUCCUUAAGAUAGGCGGUAGGUUCGAAUCCUACUAGGGGCA
rnacentral:tRNA from 1 species